AGCUUUUCGAAUCCGUGGUGAGAUUUCGUCAUACACUAACCCAUUAUGGCUGUUCAGACUUCCGAGAUAAGUGAAGUU
rnacentral:pre_miRNA from 1 species